rnacentral:misc_RNA from 1 species
GGAAAUGCUUCUUUAGAGGAGGUUGUAAUGGCCUUAAAGUGUCGUGGAGAGCAAGUACUAGGUGGCCUAUAUACAGGGAUUAAUACACAACAUAUACUCAUGUCAAGCAAGAUGGUAGAGGAGUAUUCCGGACUUCAUGUGCAGCCACACAAAGCCAUUGUUGGAGCUAAUGCCUUUGCUCAUGAAAGUGGCAUCCAUCAGGAUGGAAUGUUAAAACACAAAGAUAC